CACUCAGGUUUUCAGGAUUUCCCUCAGAUGAAAAGGCUGUGGUGAUUACUAAAAUCACCACAGCCUUUUCAUCUGAGGGAAAUCCUGAAAACCU